GGCGAACGGUCGCGUAACACGUAGGCAACCUGCCUCGAAGUGGGGGACAACAGCCCGAAAGGGCUGCUAAUACCGCAUGUGGCCACCUUAUCGCAUGAUUUGGUGUCUAAAGGGUUUCAGCAAAGGGAUUCGCUUUGAGAUGGGCUUGCGGCCUAUCAGCUUGUUGGUGGGGUAACGGCCUACCAAGGCGUUGACGGGUAGCUGGUCUGAGAGGAUGUCCAGCCGGAUUGGGACUGAGAUACGGCCCAGACUCCUACGGGGGGCAGCAAUUAGGAAUCUUGCGCAAUGGGCGAAAGCCUGACGCAGCGACGCCGCGUGGAGGAUGACGGGUUUCGGCCUGUAAACUCCUUUUAACGGGGAAGAAGAAUGUGACGGUACCCGUUGAAUAAGCCCCGGCUAACUACGUGCCAGCAGCCGCGGUAAUACGUAGGGGGCGAGCGUUGUCCGAAGUUACUGGGCGUAAAGAGCGCGUAGGCGGUUUUCUAAGUUUGGUGUGAAAGGUUCAGGGCUCAACCCGAACAGUGCACUGAAUACCGGGAAACUUGAGUGGGGGAGAGGAAGAUGGAAUUCCAGGUGUAGCGGUGAAAUGCGUAGAUAUCUGGAGGAACACCGGUGGCGAAGGCGGUCUUCUGGCCUCUUACUGACGCUGAGGCGCGAAAGCGUGGGGAGCGAACGGGAUUASAUACCCCGGUAGUC
rnacentral:rRNA from 1 species